rnacentral:rRNA from 1 species
CCUACGUGAGGCAGCAGUAGGGAAUUUUCGUCAAUGGGCGCAAGCCUGAACGAGCAAUGCCGCGUGAACGAGGAAGGUCUUCGGAUCGUAAAGUUCUGUUGAAGGGGAAAAAGAGCGGAGAGAGGAAAUGAACUCCGAUUGAUAUUACCCUUCGAGGCAGUCACGGCUAACUACGUGCCAGCAGCCGCGGCAAUACGUAGGUGGCGAGCGUUAUCCGGAGUGAUUGGGCGUAAAGGGGGCGUAGGGGGCCUGCUAAGUCUGGAGUGAAAGGUACCGGCUCAACCGGUACAGGCUCUGGAAACUGGCGGGCUAGAGAGCAGGAGAGGGCGGUGGAACUCCAUGUGUAGCGGUAAAAUGCGUAGAUAUAUGGAAGAACACCAGUGGCGAAGGCGGCCGCCUGGACUGUUACUGACGCUGAGGCACGAAAGCGUGGGGAGCAAAUAGGAUUAGAUACCCCGGUAGUC